GAUGAGAACGUAGCAAAAUGCGAUAAGUAAUGUGAAUUGCAGAAUUCAGUGAAUCAUCGAAUCUUUGAACGCACAUUGCGCCCGCCAGUAUUCUGGCGGGCAUGCCUGUUCGAGCGUCAUUUCAACCCUCAAGCACAGCUUGGUGUUGGGACUCGCGUUAAUUCGCGUUCCCCAAAUUGAUUGGCGGUCACGUCGAGCUUCCAUAGCGUAGUAGUAAAACCCUCGUUACUGGUAAUCGUCGCGGCCACGCCGUUAAACCCCAACUUCUGAAUGUUGACCUCGGAUCAGGUAGGAAUACCCGCUGAACUUAAGCAUAUCAAUAAGCGGAGGA
rnacentral:misc_RNA from 1 species